rnacentral:RNase_P_RNA from 1 species
ACAUUCGGGUAAUCGCUAUAAGUUUUUACUUAUAGAGGAAAGUCCAUGCUCGCACAAGCUGAGAUGCUUGUAGUGUUCGUGCUUAGCGAAGUCAUAAGCUAAGGUAGCUUGGAAAAGCUAACGGCAGGGAAACCACCUAAGUCCUUUGAUAUGGUGGAACUACUUAUAAUGUGCCACAGUGACGAAGUCCUUUAAGAAAUUAAAGGAGUGGAACGAGGUAAACCCCUCGAGCGAGAAACCCAAAUUUAGGUAGGGGCACUUUCCUGGAGGAAAUGAACAAAGGGAAAGACAGAUUAUAUCUGUAGAUAGAUGAUUACCACUUCUGUACGAGGUGCAAUUCCGUUAUGAGUACAGAAGAACAAAACAUGGCUUACAGAA